GGAUGUGAGGGUGAUCUGGUUGCGACAUCUGUCACCCCGUUGAUUGCCAAGGGUGAUUCCACUGAUCUGGCUGGCUAGGCGGGUGUCCCCUUCCUUCCUUACUGCUCUAUUGGUGACCCCCUGAAGCUAUGCUUGGUCGAAGAGGACAGCCUUCCCCAAAUACAGGCCUACCAGUCUUAGGUCGAGGGUAUAAGAGUAAGCUCUGUUAAUGAUCCUGGUUCGAGCCUCCGGCUCCCCAUCUGCAGGGGAGUCGCUUCACAGGCGGUGAAGCAGGUCUGC
ensembl:misc_RNA 7SK 7SK RNA